UGCAGUCGAGCGCACCUUCGGGUGAGCGGCGGACGGGUUAGUAACGCGUGGGAACAUACCCUUUGGUACGGAAUAGCCUCUGGAAACGGAGAGUAAUACCGUAUGAGCCCUUCGGGGGAAAGAUUUAUCGCCAAAGGAUUGGCCCGCGUUAGAUUAGGUAGUUGGUGGGGUAAUGGCCUACCAAGCCUACGAUCUAUAGCUGGUUUUAGAGGAUGAUCAGCAACACUGGGACUGAGACACGGCCCAGACUCCUACGGGAGGCAGCAGUGGGGAAUCUUGGACAAUGGGGGCAACCCUGAUCCAGCCAUGCCGCGUGAGUGAUGAAGGCCUUAGGGUCGUAAAGCUCUUUCGCCUGUGAAGAUAAUGACGGUAGCAGGUAAAGAAACCCCGGCUAACUCCGUGCCAGCAGCCGCGGUAAUACGGAGGGGGUUAGCGUUGUUCGGAAUUACUGGGCGUAAAGCGCACGUAGGCGGACUGGAAAGUUGGGGGUGAAAUCCCAGGGCUCAACCCUGGAACUGCCUCCAAAACUAUCAGUCUAGAGUUCGAGAGAGGUGAGUGGAAUUCCGAGUGUAGAGGUGAAAUUCGUAGAUAUUCGGAGGAACACCAGUGGCGAAGCGGCUCACUGCUCGAUACUGACGCUGAGGUGCGAAAGUGUGGGGAGCAAACAGGAUUAGAUCCCUGGUAGUCACACCGUAAACGAUGAAUGCCAUCGUCGGGUAGCAUGCUAUUCGGUGAC
rnacentral:rRNA from 1 species